rnacentral:lncRNA from 1 species
GGUGGACUCCUCUGCGGCAGAUCUCCUGUAAGAUGUGCUGGUUAAGGCUUCUGGCAGAUUCGGGUCAGUCCCAAGUGCGACCGGUCUUCUGGGGCUGCCGUCCGCAGACCCUUCUCGCAUCCACGUACCUGGCGGCCUCCCUCAUCGCGUGCUGUUGGUAGGGGGGCGAGUCAGGCCCUGUACACGUCCUGACAGGCACCCGGCCCACCCCCAGCCAACUGUGCGCUGUGUUCCUGCCCCAGCACGAGACCUGUGGGGUGUCCGCGGCAGAAGAUGUCAGAGCUGGAAGAGACCUGAGAGGCGAUCCCUUGGUGGGUGAUGGGUUCUUCCGGGAAUCUGGUGGUAAGUGUCGGGGAGGGUCUGGCCUGGUGGGGUGGGUCCCUUCACUUCCUUUUGAGUGUUGAUUUUCUGUAAGUCCCUCUGUCCAGGAGUUCAAAACCACCCGCUUACCCUACCUUCCCAUGUUGCCUAUCAGGUGAUGGAGUCCCAGAAAGCGUAACUGUCUGCCAGCUCACGAGGCCGUUUUGUGCAGAUAGUUUGAUUACCUCUGUGGUUGGGAUUCAACUUGUCGCCUUUUCCCCGGGAAUCUCCAGAUGAGCGGUGUGUCAGCCUGGAAAAGGUGGGCUCCUGCCGCAUCCCUGUGGCAGAGGCCUCUUAGCUCUCUGCAGUCAGGAGUGGGAGCCCAGGUUCACGCCCAUUUAUUGCCGCUUGCUCUCAAUUGGCAUUUGUUACAAUCUCUUGUUUAUGCUCUUACAUCACUUAAUUGUAACAGCAGGCCUCGGAGUUGUUUCCAGUUUCCUGGUUUUUAGAGACAAGGAAGUGGGAGCCGAGGGUGUGACCUGCUGCACUGACACCCCAGGCCUUUGGGCCUCUUCUCUAGGCAGGAUCAAAUCCUUGCUCUCUUUCCAGGAGGCUGGGAGUUCUGGUUCUCGGCCCAGGCUGGGGGGGAAGGCCUCCAGGCCACGUGUGCAUGUCUGACCAACAUUCUCUGACGCCAGGUUUGCGCGCCUUGUUGUCUGCUUCCAGAACAAGGAUCUUCGCUGUACGCCAAGACCCAGACCCCUCUGACAUCGGAAUGACAAGUGGGAUAUUUAAUAAAACAGUUUCAAAUUUGGAGUC